ACAAUUGAAGAUGGUUAGUUUGUCGAUUUAAUUAUGUUGCAACUGUGUCGACAAUGUUUAUUUGACCGUACAUUCGGGUUCUCUUUCCUUUGUUCAGGUAUGGAGCCUUUUACUGGCUCAAAUCAACUAGAAAAAUAUGUCGGAUAAUGAUAAGAGAGGCUCUGUCGAACCUGGUACUCAAAACACAAAAAAUCUGCAAAUUACUUUUGUCGAUCCUACGUCUACUACAAUACCUACAUUGUUAUGCUCUACUAAUCUUAUGAUUUUCUAUCCUGGGUAAUGACCAGACAAAUGAUCCAUACAUGAUGACGCAUCAAGAUGUAGCUUUUGAAUCGUACCAACUUGGAUGCAAUACUCCCAUAGCAAAUACUGAUGAAUACAUGAAUUUUGUUCUUAAAGAAUGCAUGCAUCUCUAAGAUAAGGAAUUUAGCUCUAUACACGAUGACGCACCAAGAUGGGUAUUAAAGAGGGCUACAACUUAUUUGGAACAUGAUAUGUGUAUCCAGGUGCUCGACUCGCUAGGCCCAGGAAUGCACCGCAAAGACCUCACCGCUAUGCUAGAAGGCAAGGGCAAGAACACCUUACUGCUUGUGAAGGAAUGCUUAGUCCGUGGCUGCGUAUGCACAGAUGCAUGCCCUCUUGCCGGCAAAACAGCAGCAACAGUCACCUCUGGACAUGCCAUCAGUUCCUAGAAGAAAGUGGUGUUCGAGUAGGAAGAGGGAGGAGAUGCAAACAUCACUGCUAAUCCGACCAGUUCAGGAAACACAUAAAGAUGAUAUGUAUCCUUUGAGCAAUAGGAUCAACUUCAUGUCCAUACGGUCACUACACAUGCCAUGCAGGCGGCAAGAUACGGGCAUGUCCAUCAUCGACUUCGAUGACGGCGAGAUCGACGUGGUGCAGCACAACUCUGUCUGAGUCAGCAGCAGCGAAUUGUUUCUACGGAGGUCUAAUCCUUUUCGGUACCAGUCAAAAUCCAACUUUUUAUUGCUAUUUCGCAAUGCACUCUUGUGUGCAUAAUUAUUUAAAACUGAAAACAUCUGGAGUACACCUGAUCCAUUCUAAUUCUAAAGACUAAAGAAGUUGCACUUCCUGCUUCCAGAGUGUAAAAUGGUGCACUUGAAUGAUUGGUUGUUGGGACUAAGCA